CUGUAAGGAAUACCGGGUAACCAUUGUGGCUGACCAUCCAGGUAUAGAUUUUGGGGAACUUAGUAAAAAAUUGGCUGAAGUAUGGAAGCAGUUGCCAGAAAAAGACAAACUGAUCUGGAAGCAAAAGGCUCAGUAUCUGCAGCACAAACAGAACAAAGCUGAAGCCACAACUGUGAAAAGAAAAGCGUCCAGUGCAGAAGGCACCAUGAAAGUCAGAGCUUCUUCUGUGGGAAUACUUUCACCCCAAAAGAAGUCCCCACCGACCACAAUGCUUUUGCCAGCCUCACCAGCCAAAGCUCCUGAAACCGAGCCCAUUGAUGUCGCCGCUCAUCUCCAGUUGCUGGGAGAGUCCCUCAGCCUCAUUGGACACCGCCUGCAGGAGACAGAGGGCAUGGUAGCAGUGUCCGGAAGCUUGUCAGUGCUCCUGGACUCCAUUAUCUGUGCUCUUGGCCCUUUGGCAUGCCUGACCACACAACUACCUGAACUGAAUGGCUGUCCUAAACAGGUCUUGUCAAACACGCUGGACAACAUUGCAUACAUCAUGCCCGGACUGUGACCUCCAAGAAGCCUGGGACAGAAGACUGUCUACCCCUUCGUUUAUGUAUAUAUGACUGUUCCAGAUCUUCCACUGACCUCUGGGUGUAGGUUUUAAAUUUUUAUAUCUAUAUAUACAUAUAUAAUGUAUAGUAUAUACAUAGGAUUAUAACUACUUUGCUUUUAAUAAUUUUAUGAAAUGGCAAAGGUUUAGCUAAAAGGAAACUUUGGCAUGAAUGUGGGCUUGGAAUUAUUUUUUUGUGAAAAAAAAUCUGCCUUAAAAAAAUCAGUGUAAUUUGGGGACUAGGGGCUUAUUCUGGGUGCCAUAUGUAUCUCCUUGUAAAAUGCUAAAAUGUGAUUUUUUUUCCAAGCUUGGGUUUGCCUGCAGACCCAUCGCUGACCAUUUGCCUUACCUGUCUUAGAAUCAGAAGUGUAGUGAAGAUCAUGGGAGGAGGCCAGCUGACUACAGACUUUCCAACAUGGGAUAAUCUGGGGGAGGUGGAGCUUAGGUGGACUGAGUAGGGGACUCAUUCCCGUUCCUGCUAAAGAGGUAUCUGUGUCUCCAGUUUUAUUGUACCCACAGUACCACAGAGUCGUGGGCACCAUCUAUAGCCUCAGUGUGUGAUUCUUGGCCACAGAAAAAUAAAUACCUUGGAGAAACCAAAGCUGUUGGUGCCACCUGUUGAACCUGCUUGUCUGGCCAGCAAGGCUUGGUGUACAAAACACAAAGCUGCCGUCUUUCACUGGCGGCAUUGGGUGCCCACCAACUCCCGAGAGAUUCUGCAGCUUAGCUGCCUGGUGGCUCUUGGUUCAGCUCUGGUUCCCCUGGUGGGUACUUUGUGCUCUGCAUUCCACACGGAGCUGGACCACAGAGAAGUCCUUGGUUCUCAGUAGGGUUAUCUAUAUGUGUGUUUGAGUGUAUAUUUUAAUUAUGUGUAUUUAACUCUUUAGAAUUUCUUAGAUUUUAAUUUAUCCUGUAAAUUUCUGUACAUAUAAUUUAAAAACAAGCCUCCAGCAGCAGGAACAUGUGGAGCAUACAGAUUUGUCAUUUCUUAAUGUCUGUCUAAAAGCCUCAAGUCGUCCAUAUGUUUAGGUGUUGUGACUCAGAAAGGAACUUCAUGGCCCUCAAUAAUGUUAGGAAAGUGAAAUAGAAAGGAAUGGCACCAUUCUAACUGCCCUUAUUCCCAAAGAACCAGGCCUGCUUCCCAUCAGAGAGAAGAUAUCUCAACACUCCAGGGUUGUUUGGAAAUGUGGUGAGUUAGCCAAGCUUUCUUCCUCUGGCCUGGAAGAACAUGGCAGCAUCACUGUAAACCUCUGGGGACCAUGUAGCCAGCUGGCAUCCUAGGUAACACCUUCCCAUAGCCCGACUGCUGUCAUGGCCGAGCUUCUCACAGGAGUUCUGGAGGCUCUGUCCCCAUCUCAGCUCAGAGCAGUGCUGAGAUGUAAUCUGAGAAAUGGAGACAGGAACAGGAAUAUGUGGGAACUGAAAUCAAGCAAAGCAGAAAUUUAAAUUUGAGUUAACAUGUCAGAACCUCCUUUGAACCUGCAGAAGUUUGCUGUGAGGAACGGCACCCAGGAGAGGCCAAGGAAGGCAUGUAUCGUUUAGGAAGCAGCCAGUCCUCCAUUGCCCUUGCUACAGACAGUUGUGAACUCCUGAGGAGAACGGGCUUUUUCGUGUUUGUUUUCCUCUGAAGCCUAGCCCUGUUGUAUUUGUAUUAAAGAUUUGUACACAUUUGUAUAAUAAUCUGUACCUUGUGGUAUUUGGUACUAUUAGAGGAAAAACUUUGGAUUCAGGCCUUCUUGCUGUUUUUAUAUCAUUGUUUUAUUUUGUUUUUUAAAUAAAUCCUAGUGGUUUGAUCCAAAUCCUAUUACAGUUGUAUAAAGAAACAAAAUUUUGUACUUAUAUUAAAGAUCUCAUUUUUAAUAUUUAUA
rnacentral:lncRNA from 1 species